UACGAUGAUGAUUUUUAUAUAUUCACACUGUACUAGUGCUUUUUUAGCACAAUGACUACAAGAAAUAAAAAGACUGAUUUAAUGACUCUGAUU
rnacentral:snoRNA from 1 species